rnacentral:rRNA from 1 species
UACGUAGGGUGCAAGCGUUGUCCGGAAUUAUUGGGCGUAAAGAGCUCGUAGGCGGUCUGUCGCGUCGGCUGUGAAAACCCGGGGCUCAACCCCGGGCCUGCAGUCGAUACGGGCAGACUAGAGUGCGGUAGGGGAGACUGGAAUUCCUGGUGUAGCGGUGAAAUGCGCAGAUAUCAGGAGGAACACCGGUGGCGAAGGCGGGUCUCUGGGCCGUAACUGACGCUGAGGCACGAAAGCGUGGGGAGCAAACAGG